CCCUGAACACACCUGAUGUUGUCUGAUCUCUGAAGCUAAGCAGGG
rnacentral:rRNA from 1 species